GAUGAACGCUGGCGGCGUGCCUAACACAUGCAAGUCGAACGCUCGCAAGAGAGUGGCGCACGGGUGAGUAACACGUAGCUAAUCUGCCCUCAAGACAAGGAUAACUGUAGGAAACUACUGCUAAUACUUGAUAAGCUUACGGACUGUAGAGGUCUAUAAGAAAGAUUUAUCGCUUGAGGAUGAGGCUGCGCGCCAUCAGCUAGUUGGUAAGGUAAUGGCUUACCAAGGCGACGACGGCUAGGGGACCUGAGAGGGUGACCCCCCACACUGGGACUGAGACACGGCCCAGACUCCUACGGGAGGCAGCAGUGAGGAAUAUUGCUCAAUGGGCGCAAGCCUGAAGCAGCGACGCCGCGUGGAUGAAGAAGGUUUUUCGGGUUGUAAAGCUCUUUUGUCAGGGAAGAAACGGUGAGUUCUAAUACAGCUUGCUAAUGACGGUACCUGAAGAAUAAGCACCGGCUAACUACGUGCCAGCAGCCGCGGUAAU
rnacentral:rRNA from 1 species